GUGGGGAAUAUUGGACAAUGGGCGAAAGCCUGAUCCAGCCAUGCCGCGUGUGUGAAGAAGGUCUUCGGAUUGUAAAGCACUUUAAGUUGGGAGGAAGGGCAGUAAGUUAAUACCUUGCUGUUUUGACGUUACCAACAGAAUAAGCACCGGCUAACUUCGUGCCAGCAGCCGCGGUAAUACGAAGGGUGCAAGCGUUAAUCGGAAUUACUGGGCGUAAAGUGCGCGUAGGUGGUUCAGCAAGUUGAAGGUGAAAUCCCCGGGCUCAACCUGGGAACUGCCUCCAAAACUGCAUGACUAGAGUACGGUAGAGGGUAGUGGAAUUUCCUGUGUAGCGGUGAAAUGCGUAGAUAUAGGAAGGAACACCAGUGGCGAAGGCGACUACCUGGACUGAUACUGACACUGAGGUGCGAAAGCGUGGGGAGCAAACAGGAUUAGAAACCCUAGUAGUCC
rnacentral:rRNA from 1 species